rnacentral:tRNA from 1 species
UUUAACAUGGCAGAUUAGUGCCACAGAUUUAAGCUCUGUUUAAGGAGAUGCGAUCUCUCCUGUUAAAA